GCGUCUCCCAGCAGGGCGCCCCAUGUGUGUGAACCGUCCCACGACUCCAGGAUGUCUAUAGUAUUCUUUUGGACGCCGUUCAAGUUACAACUGUUUAGUGGUGUGUCCUCUGAAGCCAGUGAUCGUGAGUGUGUGGUUUUAACGUAUCUUAAAAGGCCACGUUAAUUGCUCCGAGUGCUAAAUCCCACUGAUUACAAGGGAUCGGUUACAUCGCAUGUGCAGGAAGGCCAAUUUAAGGAUUAAUCAGUGAUUGCACCGAGAAUGUGACAGACCAACAGCGACCUUGGGCGCACGAUCCCUCAGAAUGCCGCCCUCACGAUAACCACCCCAUCACCCCCAAAGAAACGUAAAAUGUUCAAUUUGUGAUAUGACGAGGGCAAUAUGGAUGCUCACCGUGGCGUGUUUGCUGGCGGGUCUGGCUCACGUUGCGGACUCUUACCUGGCAGUAUUGUCCUCGACCCUGGCCCCAGGUUCCCUCAUCUUCGAGGCUGGUAUACCACGACUUGGGGGACGUAGAAAAUACGAGGCGUCAUCCCAUACCGCUCGUUUUGCCCGAAAACUUCUUCGCGUUCAUCCUCAUAAUGGCCAGGUAACCCUGGCGCGCUCCCUCAACUGCGAUGGCCUUCAAUAUCCUCGUCUCUUCACCUUUCACAUUGACUCAACGAGCCAACGACUUGGCCGGCCCAACAUUGACUUCUACAGUCUACCCCUGAGAAUUUUGAUAACAGGAUGUGGGGGUGAAAAUCAAGAUCUUGCAGCGACAAAGGGCUGGAUGGCAGAGACUCUUGCAUCCUUUGCGAUGCCAACUCCGGAUAAACUCACGGAGAUAUGUCUACGUGCAUCUCAACUAGUUGCAUCCCUCCAGAGCUUCCUCCCUGAGACAGUUGUGAAGGAGUGCGAAACGAGAUGGGGCGGAGUCGCGGACUCUAGAUUUUUGAUAGAAGAUGCAGCUGGUGAUCUGGUGUCCGCAUCCGAGCAGUGCUUGGUGGAGCCUUUGUGGAAGAUCGCGGUCUCGAUGACCCUACGUUGCACCACAAAUCAUCUGGCAGAUGCUGAGCAUCGGCUGAAGAUAAUAUUCCAUCAUCAGCAGCUGGAUGAUGAUGAUCUGGGACGAAGAGUCCGUCGAGAGCUGCGCAAUCGCUCACCCUUUUUCGAACAGGGUCUGUACACAGUCGCUGUGGAGGAGGAAAAGGAACCUGGUGAAUUGGUCACUGUGGUGCGUGCUAGGGACCCAGAGGGUGGCCCUGUUCAUUACUCCAUGAUAUCACUUCUCGAUGCUCGGUCUAGUGCCCUUUUUCUUCUUGAUGCUACCACUGGAAAAGUGACGACACGAUCAAAACUCGAUCGAGAAAGUGUUGAUGUGCAUUAUUUCAAAGUCAUGGCUGUUGAUGAUUCCUUUCCACCGAGAACCGGCACGACAACUCUCCAGGUCAAUGUUCUGGAUGCUAAUGAUCAUGCACCGAGCUUUGAGUGGAAUGAGUAUGAAGCGCCGAUCAGGGAGAGUGUGCCAUUAGGAUCUACUGUUAUUGCGGUUAAAGCGACUGAUAAGGAUUUUGGAAGAAAUGCAGAGGUUGAGUACUCCAUAGUGUCCACCACUGGUGGUGGUGUUACAUCAUUGACAGAGGACUCUGCGACAUUUAGAAUAGAUCCAAAAUCGGGGGUUGUCACUACUAGAAUGUCCCUGGACAGGGAGAAAACUGAAGUUUAUACUGUGAUCAUCAAUGCAGUUGAUCAGGCGCCAUCACCCGCCACCAGAAAAUCCGCCACCACAACUCUCAUCGUACGUGUCCUGGAUGACAAUGACAACUAUCCCCAGUUCUCUGAGAGAUCCUAUUCCACGACAAUCUCCGAGGAUAUGGAUUACACCGUGAAUCCAGUGAUUGCCAGAAUUCGGGCGACAGAUGCUGAUGCUGGUGCCAAUGCAGCGAUAAGAUACGCGAUUAUAGGUGGAAACACUCAGAACACCUUCUCCAUAGACUCUUUAAGUGGUGACGUGACUCUUGUGAAACCACUGGACUAUGAAACAACGGAUUUGUAUAGAAUUGUUGUUAGGGCACAAGAUGGUGGCUCACCAGCGAGAUCAAAUACAACACAAUUGCUCGUUCAUGUUCAAGAUGUGAAUGACAAUGCACCGAGAUUCUUCACAAGUUUACUCCAGGAGACAGUGUCUGAGGGUGUGCCAAUUGGCCAUUCAGUUGUUAGAGUACAAGCGUAUGAUGGUGAUAAGGGACUGAACGCAUUGAUAAAAUAUUCAAUAGGGGCGAGAGACUUCUCUGGUGCAUCAACCGAGAAUUUUCCCAUCGCUGUGAACCCUGAGACCGGAUGGAUUCACACGACAAAGCCGUUGGAUCGUGAGCUAAAUUCUCGGUAUCAAUUUACUGUCAUUGCAACAGACUCUGGGGAACCACCAAAAUUUGGAAGUGCAACUGUUGUCCUCACGGUCACUGAUAUCAAUGAUAAUGAUCCAACAUUUGAGCCCAGGAAUUAUGAAACUGUUGUCUCGGAGGAUGAUCCACCUGGGACUUCUGUGGCACUUGUCACGGCUAGUGAUCCUGAUGAAGAUGCCAAGAUUCAUUAUGAUAUCACUGCUGGUAAUACUAGAGGAAGGUUCUCCAUUACAUCGCAAAAUGGUGGGGGAUUGAUUACGGUUGCUCAACCGCUUGAUUACAAACAGGAGAAGAGAUUUGUAUUGACAGUCACGGCUUCUGAUUCUGGUGGACGUGCUGAUACUGCAUUGGUUUAUGUUAAUGUAUCAGAUGCCAAUAACUUUGCACCGAUAUUUGAGAAUGCACCGUACUCGGUUUCGGUGUUUGAGGAUGCACCGGUGGGAACUACUGUUCUUGUGGUCAGUGCUACGGAUUCCGAUGUUGGACAAAAUGCUCAGGUGACGUACAGUUUGGGGACCGAUGGAGAUGGGUUGGAGGCAGCUGAAUUCACGAUUAAUCCCCAGACUGGGGCAAUUACCACUACUAAAGCCCUGGACAGGGAGAGGGCCUCUGGGUAUCUUCUCACUGUCACUGCUAAGGACGGAGGGGUACCAUCUUUGUCUGAUACUACGGAUGUUGAGAUCUCGGUCACUGAUGUCAAUGAUAAUGCACCCGUUUUCGAUGCUGGACAGUACACCGGGACUAUUCUUGAGGAUGUUCUUGUUGGGACGAGCGUUGUCAAGGUCUCCGCGACAGACGCUGAUAUGGAGCUGAAUGGGAGGGUGAGGUACACUCUCGACGAUGAUGGGGAUGGAGCCUUCGCGAUUGACUCCACUACGGGUAUCGUCAGAACGGCAAAACAACUGGACCGUGAAUCAGUGGCGCGGUAUACCCUGAAGGCAAUGGCAGUUGACCGAGGGAUUCCCGCCCUCUCCUCGACAGUCCCCAUAAUAAUCAAGAUCCAGGAUGUCAACGACUCGCCCCCUGCCUUCGAGAGUGACAAAUUGAUUCUGUAUAUUCCGGAGAACUCACCAGUGGGCUCGACUGUCGGUGAGAUUUACGCCCACGACCCGGAUGAGGGCCCCAACGCAGUCGUUCAGUAUUCGAUAAUCGGGGGUGAGGAUGCCAACAGUUUCGGAUUAAAUUCCGCCCAAAGUGCCGAUCGCAUCGAGCUGGUGACCCUCGAGGAGCUCGACUACGAGUCAGCGAAGAAAAAAUUCGAGCUUUUCGUCCGAGCUUCCUCACCACCCCUGCGCUCAGAUGUUCUCGUCCAGGUGAUGGUAACGGAUGUGAAUGACAAUGCUCCUGUCCUCAAGGACUUUCAGAUCAUUUUUAAUAACUUCAAGGACUUUUUCCCCACGACCUCCAUCGGCCGAGUGCCGGCUUUCGAUGCCGACGUUACUGACAAGUUAACGUAUAACAUUUUGGCUGGGAAUACAGCCAAUUUAAUAUCCCUAAAUCGAACAUCUGGUGCGAUAAUGUUAUCACCUCAGUUGAAUACAAAUGUAGCACGAGUGGCGACGAUGGAGGUGUCAGUAUCCGAUGGUGUUAACGAGGUUAAAGCAACCAUGACAAUGUCCAUCAGACUUAUAACUGACAAGAUGUUACACAACUCGAUAACCGUGAGACUCGAUGACAUGACAGUCGAGGCCUUUCUGAGUCCCCUCUUGAAUUAUUUUAUUGAUGGUCUCGCUGCCAUAAUCCCCUGUCCACGUGAGAACAUCUUCAUUUUCAGUGUUCAGGAGGACACUGAUGUGCAGUCAAAAAUUUUGAAUGUCAGUUUUUCAGCGAGAAAAGUCGAGCCAGGAAAUAGCGAUGAAUUUUACAGUCCUCAGUAUCUCCAAGAGAGGGUCUACCUCAAUCGAGGUAUCUUAGCAAGACUUUCUACCCUUAUUGUCCUCCCCUUUGAUGACAAUCUCUGUGUGAGGGAGCCCUGUCUCAAUUACGAGGAAUGCGUAACUGUCCUGAAGUUUGGAAAUGCCUCGGGCUUUGCCAGCAGCGAUACCGUUUUAUUCAGACCUAUUUAUCCUGUGACAACGUUCUCCUGCGAGUGCCCGAGGGGUUUUACUGGUAGUAAGGAGGCUUAUCUCUGUGAUAUGGAGGUGAAUCUCUGUUACUCGAACCCCUGCACCAACGGUGGCACCUGCCAGAGAAAGGAGAGUGGAUACACCUGCGUCUGUGGGCCGAAUUAUACCGGAACUAAUUGCGAGGUGUCUCUCAGCAGUGACACCUGCUCAUUGGGGGUGUGCAGGGGAGAGUCACAGUGUGUUGAUCGUCUUGGUGGUGGUUUUAGCUGUGAAAGGUGUUCGUUGUCGUCCCAGGAGAGUGCCAAUGAUUUUUGUGAGUUGAGGGCUAGAUCCUUUGGUCCAACGACUUUCCUCACUUUUGGAUCGUUGAAGCAGAGGCACAGAAUCCACCUGAGGCUCUCCUUCGCGACUGAAGCACCUGAGGGCCUUCUCCUCUACAAUGGAAGGUACAACGAGAAACAUGACUUCAUAGCUUUGGAGAUUGUCGACUCAAAGGUCCAGUUUAGCUUCUCCCUCGGGGAUGAGAUCACCAGGGCUCGGGCUGAGAUACCAGGAGGCGUUGCUGAUGGCCAGUGGCACCAGGUGGAGAUCGUUUAUAUCAACAGGACCGUCACUGUUGCUCUUGAUGGGUGUGAUGUGUCUUUGGCACUGAGGUAUGGUGACAGACUGGGGAAAAAGUGGGCGUGUGCUGGAUCUGCUGAACAAAUUCUUGAGCCACGAUGCACUUCCUUCACCGAGACUUGUCACAGAUUCCUGGAUCUCACUGGGCCGAUGCAGCUCGGUGGACUUCCAGCAAUUCCCUCGGACUUUCAGGUUCAUAAUAAGGACUUUGUCGGCUGUAUUCGCGAUGUUUAUGUGGAUCACAAGUUCCUGGAUUUAAAUUCUUUCGUUGCUGACAAUGGAACGAGUCUGGGGUGUCCUGAGAAGAAGGCGUUCUGUGACUCAAUGCCCUGUCACAAUGGUGGCAUAUGCAGGGAAGUCUGGUCUGGAUUUAUAUGCGAGUGUGAGGAGGGCUUUGCUGGCCCCCAGUGCAGCGAUGAGGUGGGAAAACCAUGGAGAUUUCAUGGUGACGGUGUCCUGAGUUUUAAUCCUCUGUUGAGGCCCAUUCAACUCCCCUGGGUUACUGCCCUUAGCCUCAGGACCAGGGCCACCGAGGCUUUUGUCAUGAUCAUUCAGAUCGGCCAGAAUAGCUCUACCGUGUUCUCCCUGAAGGACGGUAGAUUGGAGACAACCCUGGAUGGGGUUGAUAUCAUCAGAACACCCACUCCUAUCAAUGAUGGAAAGUGGCACAGAUUCGAGAUCAUCUGGCAAACUGGACAUGUAUCAUUGGACAUCGAUUACAGGAAUAGGCCCACGAUCUCUCCACUACCAGCUAAACUACAGGGGCUCUAUGUGGGGAGAAUCCUCCUGGGAGGGGCUGAUCAAACCCUCAGUAUUGAACAGCCCUUCUUCGAUGGAUGCAUUCAAGAUCUGAGAGUUGGAACUAAUCAGUCUAUUCUUCAACGACCCACUGGCCUGGAGAAUAUCGGCACUGGCUGUAUUGCUGAUGAUGAGUGCACUGUUACGUGUCCUGAAGAGGCCAGUUGUGUUACUAGAUGGCAGUCCUCUGAGUGCGUCUGCAAAGCUGGAAGGGUCGGUGAACAGUGCGAGGCAAUUUGUGAUGUUAAUCCUUGUCACAGUGACUCUGGUCAGUGUGUCGAGGAUACCGGGAUGCGGAAGGGAUACAAAUGCGAGUGCAACAGCGAGGAGUAUUCUGGGGAGUACUGUGAAGUCAGGGUGGAUCAGCCCUGUCCGGCUACCUGGUGGGGAUCACCCGUUUGUGGCCCUUGUCACUGUGACGAGUCGAAGGGGUAUAAUCCUUCGUGUAAUAAGACCACGGGGGAGUGCUAUUGUAAGGAAAAUCAUUAUCAGCCACCUGGGCAGGAGGAGUGCAUCCCCUGCGAGUGCUAUGCUACUGGUAGCUAUGGACCCAGGUGUCAUACUGAGACAGGUCAAUGUCGAUGCAGAACUGGAGUAAUUGGCAGAGCCUGCACCGACUGCCCGAAUCCCUACGCAGAGGUGACCCUCCGAGGGUGUGAAGUUGUCUACGACGGCUGUCCCAGGUCCUAUUCACAGGGCCUCUGGUGGCCACGCACUAAAUUCGGUCUGAAUGCCGUUGAGGACUGUCCAGGUACAGCCGAGGGUAAGUCCUCGCGCUCCUGUGAUGACAAACUCGGUGGCUGGCAGCCCCCAGACCUCUUCAACUGCACUUCCGAGGCCUUCAUCGAAAUUCGUUAUCAACUUGGUGCUCUUGAGAAUGGAGAUCUAGCUCUGAGUCGAGAUGUGGCUGUUAAAAUGGCAAGAGACCUUCACAAAGCUGUGAAUAUCACAAAGUCUAUGUACGGUGCUGACGUUCUAGUCGCUGAAUCCUUGUUCAUAAAUUUACUGAGGUACGAGGAGAGCCUGGCUGAUCUCCAUCUCACUCACAAUCAGGAUAAGGAUUAUGUGCCUCAUCUCGUGGCUAUUGCUGGGGCUAUUCUCAGCAAGAGACACUUGGCCAAUUGGGAGAGAAUUUAUUCCCUGAAUGGAGAUGGUCCGGAUAAAAUUCUGGAUGCACUUGCCAGGUAUUUGAAGAUCGUGACAGGAUCCCAACAUAAUACCUUUACCGAUCCCUUUGAAGUUGUGGAUCCCAAUGUCGUUAUGGGGCUGGAUACUGUGACAUCCGAGAGCCUUUUUGGGUAUGAGGCGAUGGAGUACAAGGAAGACAAGUCCUUGUCGACAGUGAGACCCUCAGAGGCUGAUAAACGAGUUAUCCUCCCUGAUACCUCGUCCUUCAUGUCGAGCCCAGCUCAUCUGGGGCCCUACAUCAGCUUUCCCAAGUACAAUAACUACAUGGCCGACCCCAACAGGUUCGAUCCUCACUCGAAGAUCAGGGUGCCCUUGAGUUUACUGGGCAUCAAGCCUGUGGCUCAGGGAGAGGUCAAUGAUGUCGAGCCUGAUGACACUCAGAAAGCUGUACUGAGUUAUGUUCAGUACAGGGAGCUGGGGGCGAUACUUCCUAAACGGUUCGACGACUCGGUGACUGUCAGGUGGGGAGUUGAGGUCGCUGUGGGGUCACCAGUGGUGACCGUGUCUGUCUUGGUGCCUUCGGAGAAUGGAUCUAAGGCGUUGUCGGGUUCUUCCCUGAGAUCCCCGGUGCAAAUUCAACUCUGGAUCAUUGAGGACGAUGGCAUGAAGCUCCGGGCGAAUCCCCAGUGCGUCCACUGGAGCACAGCCCGAGGAAUUGGUGAGUGGAGUAGAAUUGGAUGUACAACUGAAGCUGAAGAAGUUGAUUCCUCGGGCCGGCAGAUGGUUAAUUGCUCCUGCCAGGGUGUCAUCCUUCAAGUUAGAAACCUUCAGCUGGCCACCUUCGCCGUUCUUACUGAUGUCCUGGACCUGGAGUACGUCCCAGAGCCCUCGCUCCUCGAGGACGUCACCAGCUACAGUUCAUUUUUACUAGCCCUUCCUCUACUCCUCGCCGCUCUGUUGAUCCUUGCACUGAUCCGGGGAGGAGGUACCAACUCCAACAGUAUACACAAGAAUCUCGUGUUCUGUGUUUUACUCGGGGAACUACUGUACCUGGUGGCGUUGAAGGCUAGAGGUCCACUGGUCGCCAACGAAUUUCCGUGUAAAUUGACAGCUAUUGGGCUGCAUUAUAUGUGGCUAUGCGCCUUCGCCUGGACUCUAGUCGACUCAAUCCAUCUUUAUCGAAUGCUGACGGAGAUGAGGGAUGUCAAUCAUGGGCAAAUGAGGUUCUAUUACACCGUGGGUUAUGCAAUGCCAGCCAUAAUAGUGGGCCUUACAAUUGGAGUGAGAGCUGACCAGUACGGAAAUUUCUACUUCUGCUGGUUAUCAAUUUACGAGACAGUCGUCUGGGCCCUCAUCGGUCCCAUUUGCGUUGCUGUUCUCCUCAAUUUCUGUAUUCUAAUGAUGUCCGUAAAGGCGGCCUUCACCCUGAAGGAGCACAUCAUGGGAUUUGGAAACCUGAGGACUCUGCUGUGGCUCUCAGUGGCUUCUCUACCGCUGCUGGGCACCACCUGGACCCUGGCAGUACUGAACGCCUCCGAGAAUUCACCUAUGCUCUCGUACCUUCUGAGUGUAGCUGUAUUGGUGCACGCAGCGUUCAGCCUCAUUGGCUACUGCUUUAUCAAUGGAAGAGUCCGGAGAAAUUUGUACCUGAGCCUGUUGAAGUGCGUGGGGAAGAAGGCACCUCUGCUCGAGGCAAGUGUUGCCAAUGGCAGUAGUAGCCAGAAUGUUAAUGGCCAGUCAAGAUCGGCGUUGGCUUAUGCCUCUUAUUCGGGGACUGACGCCUGCAGGAGGGUCCACGUGGGGGUAUCUACCAGCAGCACGACAUCCAGGAGCACUAAUAAGACUGGGUCGAGCCCUUACAGGAGUGACACACAUCUGAGACACACUAGCACGAGCACUAGCAAUUAUAAUAGCGAUCGGGAUCAAUAUGUGUCGAGGGCUCAUCACAGCAAUCUUCAUGUUCAUCAAGAAAAUCCCGAGCCCCGAGGAGCUCGAAGGGACUCAGAGUCUGAUUCAGAUGGGUCCCAAGGGGGUGGAGGUAGAAGCCUUGACCUGGCGAGCUCUCACAGUUCAGACGACGACGAGGUGACCUCAAGAUCCCACAAGAACAUGGGUGUCUCUAACCAGCAGCCAGUCUCCCGCAGCUAUCUCCCCAACAUUCACCCCACCUCUGGCGAUCACUUGAACAUCAUAUGCUCUAACUCAGAGCUCUUCCCCAACAUAAAACCCAUGUACGCCCCUCGCUGGAGCUCCCAGUUGCCCGAAGCCUAUCUACCAACGAAUGUCGACAUCAGGGGAAGUCAGUGGUCUGGCGGCACCAUUUCAGAUAACGAAAUGGCGUCCAACAAAACCUCCAGCCCCAAUCCCCUUCCCUACCCUGAUAUUAAUUCACCCCAGAAGCUGGAAGAGAACUGUUCUGAGGGAGAGGAGAAGCCUCAUCACAUCGGGGAGAAGUAUCUGUUCCCAUACACUGCUGAAGAGGACCACACCAUCUCCCCGACUCCUUACAUGCUCUCCAUGAGCUCCAGAAUCCUCGGAUCUAGCCUCAGCCAUCACUCCCAGGGUUCCCAUCAUGAUAAUCACAGUGGAUCAGAGAGGUAUGGGAGCCUCAAGAGGGGCACAAGUCUCCAUGGCUCCCAUCAUGAUAAUUUGAGCGGCUCCGAGAGGUAUGGCAGUCUCAAGAGAGGCAAAAUCACUGCCAAUGUCCUCGAUGCACCCGAGUACAUCUUGCCUAUGGGAGGCAGAAUGCUCGCAACAUCUCUCAGUCAUGAUCUUCAUCACAGUGGUGAACUUGCUGCACUCAGGGCACAGCAGCAUCAGCAGCAUCAGCCACAUUAUGGGCAGACAAUCACUGAGACCGAGUGGGGUUGGAAUAUUCUCAGCUAACAGUAUUUUUUCUCUAAUAAUCUGCUUACCUGGACCUGGUGAUGGUUAUAAACGACAGUGAAGAGUAUUAUCAUUUUUCAGGAAGGAUACUAACGCCGAGACACCGGUUUGAGAGAAUCCGUCUACAAGGAAAUUACCGUACAAACUGAAAUACCUUAAGGCUUAGCCAUUUUUAAAUGCAAUUUUACAACAAAGGAGGAGCAGAGAAUUUAAAUAUUAAAUUAUAAACAGAGGCUGAGAGAGAGAGAGAUAAUUCAAUAUUUUAAGUGGCCAUUACCGUACUUGAGAACAUGGAGACAAAAUUAAUUUAAGCCAUAUUGUAAUUCAUUAGCCUGUAUGUGUGAGUGCCUGUACGUACGCCUAAAAGAUGCUUUAUUUCCUAUUCUCAAUCAAUGUAUUUAGUUUUUUUGAGAAUUUAAUUAAUUAGUCACUGGGUAACAGAGCAAUUGUCGUUAGUAAAUUGUCGUCUAAUUAUUUUAUAAAUAAGCAUUAAUGAUAAGUGAAAGUAUAACGACAAUUGCAAUGACUGGAGAUGCCCAGUAAAUGAUCUCUCUUUGCUCAUUUCGAAAUAAUUAUAAUCUAUAUAAUUGUCUAUUCCAUAAUCAAUUCAGUAUCGUGCAAUGUACACAUUCCACACUUUUUUUUUAUCAUCAUUCUUUUAUUCAGAUUUUUUAUGUAAUUCUUAAGUUUUUUACAAAUGUUUUUAUGGCUUUUUUUUACCCAUUUUUAAAUUGUAAUUUUGUAAAGCCCUGGAACAAAAAACCAGGGCUCCAUAAUACUCAAGAUUUUUGUAUAUAUUUAUACGAAGAAACAUGACAAAAUACAUAAUUUAUAUAUAUCCUAA